GUUUUUAAUGGAGUUCAAAUUGGAGGGGAAAAAAGAGUUGCGAUGUUUGGUGCACGAGACAACCGCACUGUGAAUAACUACGAUGGCUAUGAAGUUUACUUUGGUGGCGGAACAAGGUUAACAGUCCUAGGUAAGACACCAGAACUAGUCCAUGUAAGGAAUUUAAAGGCCUCCAGAGUCUGGAACUGUUUUUACAUUGGAGGGGAAAAAAAGAGUAGCGAUGUUUGGUACACGAGACAACCGCACUGUGAAUAACUACGCUGGCAAUGAAGCUUUCUUUGGUACAGGGACAAGGUUAACAGUCCUAGGUAAGACACCAGAACUAGUCCAUGUAAGGAAUUUAGAGGAAUCCUUCAUGUCAAGGGGUUUUCUAUCAAACAGUUCUAGGUAAGGUAGGUAGGUAAGGUCUUUGCGGGCGGUUGGGGGUACUGCUUGUGGUUCUUGUGAAGCUUUCUUUGGUGCAGGAACAAGGUUAAUAGUCCUAGCUAAGACACCAGAACUAGUCCAUGUAAGGAAUUUAAAUGCUUCCGGAAUCUGGAACUGUUUUUAAUGGAGUUCAAAUUGGAGGGAAAAAAAAGAGUCGCUAUGUUUGGUACACGAGACAACCGCACUGUGACCAGUUAUGGCGAUGAAAUUUACUUUGGUGGAGGAACAAGGUUAACAGUCCUAGGUAAGACACCAGAACUAGUCCAUGUAAGGAAUUUAAAGUCCUCCAGAGUCUGGAACUGUUUUUACAUUGGAGGGAAAAAAAGAGCGUGUUGUUUGGUACAUGAAAAAAAAGAGUCGCAAUGUUUGGUACACGAGACAACCGCACUGUGAAUAACUACGCUGGCUAUGAAGUUUACUUUGGUGGCGGAACAAGGUUAACAGUCCUAGGUAAGACACCAGAACUAGUCCAUGUAAGGAAUUUAGAGGAGUCCUUCAUGUCAAGGGGUUUUCUAUCAAACUAGAGUCUUUGCGGGCUGUUGGGGGUACUGCUUGUGGUUCUUGUGAAGCUUUCUUUGGUGCAGGAACAAGGUUGAUAGUCCUAGCUAAGACACCAGAACUAGUCCAUGUAAGGGAUUUAAAUGCUUCCGGAAUCUGGAACAGUUUUUAAUUUUUUAAUUCAAAUUGGAGGGAAAAAAAAGAGUCGCAAUGUUUGGUACACGAGACAACCGCACUGUGAAUAACUACGAUGAAGUUUACUUUGGUGGCGGAACAAGGCUAACAGUCCUAGGUAAGACACCAGAACUAGUCCAUGUAAGGAAUUUAGAGGACUCCUUCAUGUCAAGGGGUUUUCUAUCAAACUAGAGUCUUUGCGGGCUGUUGGGGGUACUGCUUGUGGUUCUUGUGAAGCUUCCUUCGGUGCAGGAACAAGGUUAGCAGUCCUAGCUAAGACCCCAUCCAAAGCUUUCCAAGUCAAGUGGAUUUCUGUGAAAGCGAAGUGAGGAAUAAAGCGCAGCGUCGUGGCGGCUGGUCAACUGAAGGAAACGUGAUUCCCGCAGGAUGUCGGUGUUGCUACGACGUUAGUGUUCAUGUUGACAAACGGUGGCCAUAUUAGCAUGAGUACAGCAGGUGCAGGCGAUGAGGCGGGUGCGGCGUGCAUGGAUGUUGCCUUCAAGGGGCUCAGACAGAAAGAUAAGAGAGGCCAGCAGAGGAAAAAGAGCUUUCUGUCGUGGCUGCAAGGCUCUGUGCUCCUACAACCAAGCUUUUUUCGCCGCGGGGACCAAACUCAGCGUUUUAGAACCCGACCUGAACAUCACGCCACCAAAGGUGACCUUGCUCAAACCUUCGCCACACGAGUGCAGCGACCACAAGGACGACGAGAAGAAGAAGACUUUGGUGUGCGUGGCCACCGGGUUCUAUCCGGACCACGUCAGCGUGGUGUGGAAGAUCAACCAGAAGGAGGUGAGCAGGGGCGUGGCCACAGACGCCCAGGCCCUGCGGAGCGGGGACCACUACAGCAUCACCAGCAGGCUGAGGGUCCCGGCCGGCAGCUGGUUCGACUCCGACACGGAAUUCACGUGCGUGGUCCGGUUCUUCAACGGGAACGAAACGGUCGACUAUCCCGCGUCCGUCAACGGAGAGAAAGGCUGGGGGGAGGAAGGCGCCGUGACACGAGAAAACUUCCUGAAGAUCUCGCAGAGCGCCAAACUCUCCUACAGCGUCCUCAUCGCCAAGAGCUGCGUCUACGGCGCCUUCGUCUUCUUGCUGAUCUGGAAGCUUCGGGUCUCCUCGAGGAAAAGCGGCUAAAGAAGGGAAGUCCUUUCUGUUUGAUUGCUCUGCUAUUGAUUGUGUGACCUGUUUGCUGAAUAAAAGUAUUCCAUGG